rnacentral:misc_RNA from 1 species
GUUUGAGGUGCUUUUCUCGAUGAAACACCGUCUCGAGUGAUUCUUCAAUUCUCACUCCUUCCUUGCUCUCGGUAGCCAAUGCCUCACAAGCGACACUUCGAUCAAACCAGCCGACUGGGGUCAUGGAUUUCGCUAGGAGCAGAUGCUCUUCUUCGCUUUUCAGAGCUGGAGAACUACUCCAACUCACUUCCAUUCAAGUUCGAUAAUUCUUUGGUGGCGCACAGCGGAUGCGGUGGGCUCGUUGCUCUUUUUUCGCCAAGGGCUUGUAAUUUUUCAACAAACGAGAACUCUAUCUUCCUCUUCCAUCUCGCUGGAGCCCCUUUGCAGAAGCGCAUACGUAUUCCCUUGAAGGCGAUUGAAAGCGUCGUCUACAUGACAUGGAACAAGGCAGCUGAUCACCUGAUAGUAGUUUCGAAUACAGGUUUCGUCCACUUUUACAACUAUUGCGGUGCAACGGCAGCGACGUCUUUGCCGAUGGAAAUACCGGUUGUCUGUACAUCGUGCGACAACGGGUUUGUUGCACUGAUCGACACCGCAACUGAAGCGAAGCUUGUACUUGUGCACCUUGGACCACAGAAGGAGUACACAGUGCGCGAACUCUCUUUGCCGCAGAGCAUUCGCCAGUUCAUGAGAACGAUCGCUCUCGUCGCCCUUGACGAAAGCGCUGACAAAAGACAGACAACAGAGGUGUUUCUUUCUUAUUCACCGUGGUCCUCGAACUCAUUCAUUUGUCGGUGCGUUUUCGGAGCCUCAAACUCGUCUUUCCUAGAGCUCGAUGUGCCAGUCGAGGGAGGGCGAGUUCUGGAGAUGUGCCGCUCGCCCACCGGCCGCGCCGUCGCGUUUAUGAUGCUAGAUGGGUCGGUGUACUCAACGAAUAGCGGAUUCUCUGAGGUUUCUCUGCUUAGGCGUACUGACGCGACUCCGGAAAGUUUUGUGCAAAUGACGUGGUGUGGAAGCCAUUGUGUUGCAUAUCUACAACGAAUGCAGUACGGCAGCGCGUCGGGUGAGGCUGAGGGUGAGGGUGAGGACUACUCCUGCUCGCUAUUCUUGAUGAGCGUCGACGAACCUGACAACAGUGACUGCAUCUCCGACUUACCGUUUGAUGGUUGUCUUCUUCCCGAGAAGGACGGUGUUUGGGUGCUUUCUAGAGAGUCGCUGUAUUUCUUGCAGAUUGCCCCGCUUGCCGUCCAGCACGUCUUUUCUGUCGGUUCGCGGGCCGCUGGGGCGAUGCUUGUGACAACGUACGACGAGUUCAUGACCGGAGAUGCAUCUGCCGUGCGAAUGCUACGGAAUCUUGAGCACACCUCAGGCGCGCUGGUGGAAGCGGUCGCUGAGUGCGUUGCUGCAGCAGGCUUCGAGUUUGACGCGGCGCAGCAGAAGCGGCUGUUGAGAAUCGCCGCAUUUGGCCGAACAUUUUGUUCCCUCUGUGAUUCAAGCUCAUUCAUAGCCAUGUCGAAGCGACUGCGUGUGCGCAAUCAUCUUCGUCUCGAGCCGCUCGGCAUGAUAGUGACUGACCAGCAGCUCGCCGACCUCGGCGAGGUGCGCCUUCUACAGCGUCUUACUAUGUGCAGUGAGCAUCAGGUAGCCUUUUGUGUGGCAGAAGCUCUCGGGUCAGAUUUAAAGCCAGUGAUGUUGGACUGGGCGAUGUGUAGGCUGGCGCGUGUCUCUGUUCACAGCAAGGACGAGGAGCUGGAGGUCGCGAAGCAAAUAGUCAAGAAGCUGAAGGCGUGUAGAUUCACUGCAUUCGCAGAGUUGGCACAGCAGGCUAAGGUCACCGGCCGCGGCGCCGCCGCGGUGGUACUGCUGGAUGCAGAAGUGAAUCCGUCUCAACAAGUGCCGAUGCUGCUCAGCAUAGGCGAGCCUGAAAUGGCCUUGAAGCGCGCCAUUCAAGCCGCUGACGCGGAUCUGGUGUUCACUGUCAUGGUUAACAUGAUCCGCAGUCGCGGCUCCGCUGCGCUUGCCACCUUGACAUCGCACAAAAUUUCGUGCGAUCUGCUGCUGCAAUACGUGGGGGUGUGCGAAGGCAAUCAGCAGCUCAUGGCGGAGUACUUCAAUAAGCACCCACGAGUUCAGGCCUACUUCCAUCUGCGCAGCUACUUUCGCGAGGAAACACGACUGGGACACGCGCUGUCGCAGUCGAUGGAAAGCGGAAAUUGGGAAAUGCUACAAGAAUGCAAAGGCGUGGACAUUCAGGCUGCUAUUGUCUCGACAAAAAAGGCUGUAGAGCAGAGCCCACGCCCGCAGUCGACCACCACGGCCUUUUCUCCGAUUGUCGGUGGCGGGAUUCCGUUCCCAGCUUCCAUGAUCGAUGAGCGCUUUUUGCAGCUGCAGAGCAGCCUCCUCGACGAGCAGACUCAGCUUAUGAACGAGUACAAGGACUACCGCUUCCUGCAGGCCAGCGCCGCCGACACGAUCCGCUACGCCCUCGAGCAUGGACGCACUUCUGUCGCGCAGCGGCUGAAGAAUGCGUUUUGUGUACCAGAGAAGAUGUUCCAGCGGUGCAUGCUCAGUGCGUACUUGUGCACUAGUCAGUGGGACCUCAUUGACGACAUGAGCGGCAUCUCGUCCAACAAGAAGACGCUGCUUGACGGCGAGGCUUUUGUUACUGCCUUGCUCUCCUACAAGCGCCCGCAGCAGGCAAAGCAGUAUAUUUCGCGCAUUCCAAAGAUUGAGACGCGGAUGGAAUACUACGUGCUCUGCAGCGACUGGUUCGGUGCCGGUGCCGAUUGCAAGCGGAGCAACGACCCCGAUUUGCUAACGCAGCUGAAGGACCGGGCCAAAGGAAAUCCAGACGUACUGCGUCAGAUCGAAGAGGGCUGGAGCACAAUGCCCCACCCGUCAGGCAUCAGCUUUCCCAAGUUCUUUUAGCAUCACGUCUUUACACGGAAGCGAGCAGAAAUGGCAGACAACUUCCUCUUCCGGGUACCAUGACUAUCGACUCUUUCUGUUUUUCCAUCUCUUCCUUUGCAAGGUGACCUCCAGCGCAUUUCGUUGCUGCUGACGAAAAAGCUCUAGGGAUGCGCCGACAACGUGCUGUAUCUGCUAUAUCUUCAUCACAGGAGUGGCAAUUCUGGCCUGUGGUGCGCCGCGACAGAGACAGUUUCCUGUGUCAUAUUCAUUUCCCAGUAGAGGUUGCGUUGUGAUUCUCGUUGGGCAAGGUAGGGCGCCGGCAUAUGCAUAGGGGGUGGGCUGUGCACGUCGUGUGUUGUCGUUCUUCGUUCUCCCGCGCCAUCGAUCGGGAGUGAACGAAAAAAAAAAGAGGCACCAAGUGGAGGUGCACGCUUGCCGCGUUUUUUUCGUUACUCUUCCC